rnacentral:rRNA from 1 species
CCUACGGGCGGCAGCAGUGGGGAAUAUUGGACAAUGGGCGAAAGCCUGAUCCAGCCAUGCCGCGUGUGUGAAGAAGGCCUUCGGGUUGUAAAGCACUUUCAGUGGGGAAGAAAGCCUUGGGGCUAAUACCCUCGAGGAAGGACAUCACCCACAGAAGAAGCACCGGCUAACUCCGUGCCAGCAGCCGCGGUAAUACGGAGGGUGCGAGCGUUAAUCGGAAUUACUGGGCGUAAAGCGCGCGUAGGCGGUCUGAUAAGCCGGUUGUGAAAGCCCCGGGCUCAACCUGGGAACGGCAUCCGGAACUGUCAGGCUAGAGUGCAGUAGAGGAAGGUAGAAUUCCCGGUGUAGCGGUGAAAUGCGUAGAGAUCGGGCGGAAUACCAGUGGCGAAGGCGGCUUUCUGGACUGACACUGACGCUGAGGUGCGAAAGCGUGGGUAGCAAACAGGAUUAGAUACCCCGGUAGUC